rnacentral:piRNA from 1 species
GAACAAACUGAGGAGAGAAAG